GACGAACGCUGGCGGCGUGCCUAAUACAUGCAAGUUGAGCGAUGAAGCUUGGUGCUUGCCCCAAUUUGAAGAGCAGCGAACGGGUGAGUAACGCGUGGGGAAUCUGCCUUUGAGCGGGGGACAACAUUGGGAAACGAAUGCUAAUACCGCAUAACAACUUUAAACAUAAGUUUUAAGUUUGAAAGAUGCAAUUGCAUCACUCAAAGAUGAUCCCGCGUUGUAUUAGCUAGUUGGUGAGGUAAAGGCUCACCAAGGCGAAGAUACAUAGCCGACCUGAGAGGGCUAUCGGCCACAAUGGGAAUGAGACAUCGCUCAAAACCCUACGGGGGGCAUCAAGCGGGAAUUUUUGGCCAAAGGCGAAAGUCUGACCGAGAAACGCCGGGGGAGUGAAGAAGGGUUUCGGAUCGUAAAAAUCCGUUGGUAGAGAAGAAAGUUGGUGGGAGUGGAAAGCUCAUCAAGUGACGGUAACUACCCAGAAAGGGACGGCUAACUACGUG
rnacentral:rRNA from 1 species